AACUACCGCCGCCGCCUCCACACUCCGCCGCUGUACGGCUGGCUGGAGCACAGCUUGGUGAGCUCUUGAAUGGCAAUGGACUAUUUGCGUAGCCUUCCUGAGGAAAUGAGACCGAUGCGCCGGGUGGGCGAGUGUUGUGAUGUUGGUGUGGGGAGGGGUGGGAGCGGGGAGGGAUGGGGAGAGGCAUGGGGGGAGGAGUGCGAUGGAUGUCUUCGCGGCUGGGCUCUGUGCUCCUCCCUAACGCCGCACGGAACCUCGUGGAGCCCCCAGGUCGUUGAGGCGGGACCCGGUUGCGGCCGUAGUGGGAAGUCGCUGACGGCGUUGUGGCGGAUGGACUCUGCGUGCGGCCUUUGGCCGCUGAGGCCAUUUUGCUGCGCAUGGGCCGCGUCUUACCUCUCCUAGGCUUUCUUAACCCUGGUGUGGUGACUUUGUUUGGUUUGUUUGUCUUUGAACGAUUUAUUCAGUAAAGCCAACAGCGCAACAGGGCUGAUAAGUUAUGACGUUUUCCUGGUGUAAAAUCCCAUCCUCUUUAACUCUAAGGAAAGAACUGAGAGGAAAAAAAUGAUGAUUUAAUUUAGGAAAACAUAAUAAGUGGUAUAAUAAGCGUAUUUCUUUUCAUGGUGUCUGCUGCAGGGCCGGCGUAUUUACCAGGUGCAGGACCCCGUAUCGGGCCUUCCGCUGGACAUUGCUUAAACGUCAUCGCGUGAUCCGUACUCACUACUAACUUAUU
rnacentral:lncRNA from 1 species